CUGCUUAAGAGUCCCAAAAUAGGACGAAACGGCCGUCCAG
rnacentral:hammerhead_ribozyme from 1 species